rnacentral:tRNA from 1 species
GCAUAUGGUUAAAGCACUCGGCUGCUAACUGAAAGGUUGGAGGUUCAAGUCCUCC